rnacentral:piRNA from 1 species
UGUGCUUCAUUUCUCAAAAGAGACAAGGCGU